UCCAAGAGAGCAAUCCUCCAAGAGAAUUUGUCUAUACUAUUCACUCUUUUCAUAUACCUCCUCUUCAUAUAUAUACACACUCCUGCUAUAUUCAUUGAGUGUAGUGAGGUGUUAUCUUGUAUAUAUUUUUGUGUGGGUGUAAAAUCAUUUGUAUCUCCUCCAUAUUUUUCGCAGUGCAUUUACUCCUCUCUCGCCCCGUGGUUUUUUCCCUCUA